rnacentral:rRNA from 1 species
CCUACGGGAGGCAGCAGUCGGGAAUAUUGCGCAAUGGACGAAACCCUGAAGCAGUGACGCCGCGUGAAGGAAGAAGGUUUUCGGGUUGUAAACUGCUUUAGACAGGGAAGCAAAAAGACAGUACCUGUAGAAUAAGCUCCGGCUAACUACGUGCCAGCAGCCGCGGUAAUACGGAGGGAGCAAGCGUUAUACGGAUUUAUUGGGUGUAAAGGGUGCGUAGACGGAGAAGCAAGUUCGUUGUUAAAUCCCUCGGCUUAACUGAGGAACUGCAACUAAAACUACUUCCCUUGAGUACUGGAGAGGAAAGUGGAAUUCGUAGUGUAGCGGUGAAAUGCGUAGAUAUUAGGAGGAACACCAGUGGCGAAGGCGACUUUCUGGACAGUAACUGACGUUGAGGCACGAAAGUGUGGGGAGCAAACAGGAUUAGAUACCCUGGUAGUC